AGAGUUUGAUCCUGGCUCAGAUUGAACGCUGGCGGCAGGCCUAACACAUGCAAGUCGAGCGGACUGAGAUAGCUUGCUAUCAAGGUUAGCGGCGGACGGGUGAGUAACGCGUAGGAAUCUACCUGGUAAUGGGGGAUAACGUUCCGAAAGGAACGCUAAUACCGCAUACGCCCUAAGGGGGAAAGUGGGGGAUCUUCGGACCUCACGUUAUCAGAUGAGCCUGCGUAGGAUUAGCUAGUUGGUAGGGUAAAGGCCUACCAAGGCGACGAUCCUUAACUGGUCUGAGAGGAUGAUCAGUCACACUGGAACUGAGACACGGUCCAGACACCUACGGGUGGCUGC
rnacentral:rRNA from 1 species